GACGAACGCUGGCGGCGCGCUUAACACAUGCAAGUCGAGCGAGAACCAGUCCUUCGGGACUGGGGAAAGCGGCGAACGGGUGAGUAACACGUGGGUAUCUGCCCUCGGCACCGGAAUAGCCCGGGGAAACCCGGAUUAAUGCCGGAUGGCCUCUCUGCCCCUCGGGGCGGCGAGAAAAGGUAGCUUCGGCCUCCGGCCGAGGAUGAGCCCGCGGCCGAUUAGCUUGUUGGUGGGGUAACGGCUCACCAAGGCGACGAUCGGUAGCUGGUCUGAGAGGACGAUCAGCCACACUGGGACUGAGACACGGCCCAGACUCCUACGGGAGGCAGCAGUGGGGAAUCUUGCGCAAUGGGCGAAAGCCUGACGCAGCGACGCCGCGUGGGGGAUGAAGGCCUUCGGGUUGUAAACUCCUUUCGCCAUUGACGAAGCCCUUUGGGGUGACGGUAGGUGGAGAAGAAGCACCGGCUAACUACGUGCCAGCAGCCGCAGUAAAAC
rnacentral:rRNA from 1 species